rnacentral:lncRNA from 1 species
UAAAUAACAAACACAAAAAACAACCAAAACAGAGAUGAAGAUAGAGGAAAAGCUUUUUUAUGACCUUUGUGUUCCAAUCUGUUCUAAGUAAAAGAAAAACAAAAAAGAUCAUGAGACUCAGGAAAUCUGAAAACAUUUAUACACCUACACAAACACAUAGACACACUAUCUUAAACUUUGUGAUAGAUUUUUACAACUAUUAGUGGAAUGCUGUAUUUCGGGACCUUUUAUAUUUGAAAGACCUUUCUGAGUGAGGCCUCGGAUGUAAUGAACCCAGUCUUCACAAGCAAGUGUCACCUAGUGAUUGGGUGUGUAUGCUCUCAAGCUCAUUCUAUUUGUUAUGAGUGUGAAAAAGUUAUUUCAUCUCCUUGUGCCUCAAUUUUAAUAAUCUGUAAAAACUGGUACCUACCUAAUAUUGUUGGUUGAGAGAAAUGGAAUUAAUACAUAUUAAACACUUAAAACUAUAUCUGGUACAUGGUACACAUGCAACGAGUACCAUUAUUAUUAUUAUACAAGAUGUUAUUUCUACAUAAGUUGCAAAUUUCUAAAUAUCCUUAGAUAGUGGAAUCUGUACACUAAUUAGAAAUUCCUGCAAGUUAACUUGACAGGAAAUUUUAGAAAUAUGUUCAAUUUGUAUUGAGUAGAAUGAUAGAUUGUUCUCUUUAUACACAGCUAAUAAACAGUAAGAAAUAAGCUUGACUUUAAAAAGGCAGAUUUUUUUUUUUGACAGAAAACAUCCUUUGUAGCCAAAAUGUGGAAUUCACUUUCAGGGUAUUAUAUGCAGCAUUUCCCUUUGAAAAUUUUAAGAAAGGAACAACUAACUCCCUUUUCUGGAUAACUUAAAUAUUCACCUGCUUAAAGACAGACUAUUAAACAAGAGAAUUUUAUAAGGUUCCUUUGAGACCUAUUAUCCAAUUUUUAUACAGAUUUUAGUGAUCAGGCUCUUAAGAGGGUAUCUCCCUAGCCUUCCCCCCAUUUUUAACCUCAUGAAGGCUCUACUUCAGCUCAGCUUCCUGCUACCUCAUAUGACUUUUCAGGGAAUGGAUAACAUCUCAGGAUCGGAAAUGACUGAUCGUUUCAGGGCCUCUUGUGAUUACUACAACCAUGCUGUUGAGGGUCAAGCCCAGGCCCACUGUAGCUAGACGACCAAGGGAGAAGGAGCCCACUGUAGUAUAUUAACUGGUAUACAGCAGGGAGUCUCCUAGAUGGCAGUAGAUUCUGUGAGUGUUAAUUCGGUCCCUCUUCCAGACUGUUACUAUAAAACUAGAAGUCUAUAGUAACCCCAUUCAAAGGGAUUAAUGAGAAGGGGGCAGUUUUAUUGCCCCUAUGACCUUGUAGGUCCUUGUCAAGGCUGCACUGACCUCCCCACUGACCCUUUGCUUUGUCACAUCAGGAAGGGCUAAAGAGCCAAUCUAUUCAUUGUGUCCUUUUCUGUUAAAUACUCAAUAUGCUGCUUGGUUUAAUAGUAAACCAAAGGGAAAGAAUUUGAACAAAUAGAAGUUCUUCUAACCCAGAUCGACUCUUUGUUAGCCUGGCCUAGGACACUUAGCAUUUCAGGUUUUGACUGGGUUUGACAUUAUGCCAAUCCAAUCAGAUGUGUUCAUUACAGUCUAUUUGGGUUUAGAAAGUAACGUACAGGCCAAUUCCUGUCUUUCGCUGCAUGCCAUUUCAAUAAUGCCUGAACAAUAUUAACAAGAUGACAGCUAGCAAAAACAAGCUAUUAUGCUUCUAUAACCCAGGCUCCAAUGCUAAUGUUUAGAAACACUUCUCCAGUAACACAAAAAUGCAAAAAUGAGUUAUCAGAAAUCAUUCCUUUCUUUUAAUGUGAAAACCUCCUUAAUUUUAAAGCUGCUUUCCCCAUCCAUGAAAAAAGCCUCCCCUCUUUCCAGCCCCUAACAUAUUACGUGUUAAGCACUAACAAUAUGCCAAAUUCUAUAAAGGACAUAAUAUCCCAAUAUUACCUACUGGGUUUACAAUCUACACUCCAGCUGUCUCCAAGAGUUAGAAGCUGUCACCUGAGAUUUUUCUGCACUUGGAGAUAGUCCAUAGAAAAAAUCCCUCCCAUUAAGAUUGUUAAAUCAAGGGCAGCAAUAUUUCUUGAGAACACUUGUUCAGGUGAUAUUAUCCAUUAAUUCCAUUAAUUACUGUAGAGAAAACAAUCAAUCCUAAAAAUGCCACAAAUUCCAAGAGAAUCAGAGUUCCUGACUAUUCACCACCUGACAAUCACAGCCUGUGACAGCCCAGAGCCUGAUCCUUCGGUCAUGCCUUGGACCAUUAGUUGUCUAUGUCCCUGAAAUUAACCUUUGAAAGGAGCAUUAUGCUCACAAUGCACAAGGCCGAUCUGAAUUAAAUCUCUAUUGAGAUCCAAAGUGGAAAAUUCUGAAUCCUCCUCAUCCCUCAACUCUUUCCCCUUUUUAAAUUGCCAGAAUAAUAACAAAAAUUCUUUUCUUGGUAUUAUUUCAUGUUGUCUCUCUCCCCAUUCCCCGCCUCCACAUCCCAACCAAAACUAAAACACUAGGGACUCUGGCCUCAAGGGUGCUAGUCUGUUACCCUAGAGACUGUUUCUUUACAAGGGAAUAGAGUGGCAGAGGGCAUGCCUUUGCUGCUUACCUUGGCAACCAUGAAUUUCUGAAUGCUGUUCUCAUGAAUGCAAGUCAUUCACUACCCUCUGGACAUGCCCACAGGUAUAAACAUUUUUUCAAGAAAGGACCAGGGAACACACAUUGCAUCAAUAAAUCUCUUGAAUGACAAACAAAGCCACCUCAUAGGAUAGAACAUUAUCACACUGAAAUUGAUACAAUAUGAGUCUCUAAUGGCAUUGCUUCUUGUCAAGGUCAAACAAAAUAUUCCAUUUGUACAUCCUUCAGCCUUAUCAGGCAAAUGGCAUGAGUCAGGUUAGGAAAUGAGGUAUAAAGAAGGAGGCAGAAAGAAUCUGCCACUGCAAAAAUGGAAGACAACUGAGUUUGACCCAAGAAUAAAUAUACCUUAAAGAUUCUAGGUGAGGCUAUUCAUUUCUCCCUAGCAUUUCUCUCAGUGAUUUUUUUUCCCCCUUGGCUUGGUGAAAUGACUGGCACAAACUCCAUUCAAAGGCAUUUUUAUGUGCUUCAUAGACAAACAUCACAGAUGAAAUUCUUAACAUAUUUAUAAGAACAUAGACUUUGUGCUUGUUUGGGGUUGGUGGGGGAGAGGAAAUAACAAGGACUCUUCUAUGUUUUCCUAUAAACAAAGUUGCUAUGAACCUUGGAAUUCAGUCAUAUCCAGCUCUAAACUUAAUUCUUCCAUGUGUUUACUUUUUUUACUUGGAAGUUGUUAUGCUUUGGUGUGAAACUUUUAAAUAAUUUACUAGCUUCUUAGGUAUGGUGUCUUUUAUAUAUUUGCACCAUGCUCAUUUAUACACACACCCAAAUGGAAGUAAACUAUAGACCUCUAGCCACGCUGGAGCUUAUGUAACCAAAAUAGAAUCUCUCCCACGAACCAAAACUCCCCACAGAAAGAGAUGAGGGGAGAGAAAUCUUAGGCAAAAAGCAAUCAGCUAUAUUCCUAAUAUGACCCCCACCCUUGCCAAAAAAAACAAAAACAAAAACAAAAAAACAAAAAAACAGGAAAUAAGAACACAGAACCACGGGCAGGGGACAAGCAGGUGUCAGAGUUUUCCUAAUUUUGCUACUUGUGGAACAGACAAAUCUAAAAAUCUUUAUCCACUGAUGAAAGAACCAGGGCCAUGGCCAGGUAAAUUUCUACAAAAAUUAUAUCACUUCUAAUACCCCUACCACAACUGCUGAGUAAUCUGGUUGGGUCUCAAACA